rnacentral:rRNA from 1 species
AUACGGAGGGUGCAAGCGUUGUCCGGAUUUAUUGGGUUUAAAGGGUGUGUAGGCGGUGUAUUAAGUCAGUGGUGAAAGCCUGCGGCUCAACCGUAGAACUGCCAUUGAUACUGACACACUUGAGUAUGGACGAGGUAGGCGGAAUUUAUGGUGUAGCGGUGAAAUGCAUAGAUACCAUAAAGAACACCGAUAGCGAAGGCAGCUUACUAGGCCAUAACUGACGCUGAGGCACGAAAGCGUGGGGAGCGAACAGGAUUAGAAACCCUAGUAGUCC